rnacentral:rRNA from 1 species
UUCGCAAUGCCCGAAAGGGUGACGAAGCGACGCCGCGUGGGUGAGGAAGGCCUUCGGGUUGUAAAGCCCUGUCAGGAGUUAAGAAAUGUAGGUACGCUAAUAUCGUAUCUAUUUGACAAAGGCUCCAAAGGAAGCCACGGCUAACUCUGUGCCAGCAGCCGCGGUAAUACAGAGGUGGCAAGCGUUGUUCGGAAUUAUUGGGCGUAAAGAGCACGUAGGUGGAUUUGUAAGUCAGAUGUGAAAGCCUUCUGUUCAACGGAAGAAUUGCAUCUGAAACUGCUAAUCUUGAGUGUAGGAGGGGAGAAUGGAACUUCUGGUGGAGCGGUGAAAUGCGUAGAUAUCAGAAGGAACGUCGGCGGCGAAAGCGAUUCUCUGGCCUAUUACUGACACUCAGUGUGCGAAAGCUAGGGGAGCAAACGGGAUUAGAUACCCCGGUAGUCCUAGCCGUAAACGAUGGGCACUAAGUAGAGGGGUUUU